rnacentral:rRNA from 1 species
AACGAACGCUGGCGGCAUGCCUAACACAUGCAAGUCGAACGAGACCGUCGGGUCUAGUUUCUCGCGUGUGGGUAACGCGGUGGAACCUGGCCUUAUGAUCGGAAUAAGUCCCCGACAGGGGUGCUAAUACCGGCUAAGGUCUUCGGACAAAAGAUUUAUGGCCCUGGGGUGUGCUGGCGUUGGAUGAGCUAGUUGGUAGGGUAGAAGGAUACCAAGUCGACGAUCCAUAGCUUGUAUGAGAGGAUGAUCAGCCACACUGGGACUGAGACACGGCGCAGACUCCUACGGGAGGCAGCAGUGGGGAGUAUGGGGCAGUGGCCGAACGCCUGAUCCAGCAAUGCCGCGUGAGUGAUCAAGGCCCUAGGGUUGUAAAGCUAUCUUAUUCGGGAUGAUAAUGAGAGUACCGGAAGAAUAAGCCCCGGCAACCUCCGU